rnacentral:rRNA from 1 species
AACGAACGCUGGCGGCAGGCCUAACACAUGCAAGUCGAGCGGAUCCUUCGGGAUUAGCGGCGGACGGGUGAGUAACGCGUGGGAAUAUGCCCUUCUCUACGGAAUAGCCUCGGGAAACUGGGAGUAAUACCGUAUACGCCCUACGGGGGAAAGAUUUAUCGGAGAAGGAUUAGCCCGCGUUGGAUUAGGUAGUUGGUGGGGUAAUGGCCUACCAAGCCUACGAUCCAUAGCUGGUUUGAGAGGAUGAUCAGCCACACUGGGACUGAGACACGGCCCAGACUCCUACGGGAGGCAGCAGUGGGGAAUCUUAGACAAUGGGGGAAACCCUGAUCUAGCCAUGCCGCGUGAGUGAUGAAGGCCUUAGGGUUGUAAAGCUCUUUCAGCUGGGAAGAUAAUGACGGUACCAGCGGAAGAAGCCCCGGCUAACUCCGUGCCAGCAGCCGCAGUAACAC